CUCGCGCACUUUGUUUUUUGAUUGUGCCGCCAUUGCAGUGCCAACCGUUGCGAGCGACGUAUGCAGAUAACACAUUUCGCGCCUCCUUUGUUCUUUUAUAGUGUAGUUGCGUGUUCCCGACGCCACGUUGCUGUGCAUUCGGGUGCAGCAUAUGUGAAACUGGCGGCAAGCGACUCUUUCGGAUUCCUUCUGCGAAGCGAGACGUGGCGCGGAGGAAAGUCUGGCACCGAAGAAUCACCCGUGCUGAUUUCAACCUAACACAAUGGUCCCGGCUCUAUGAGAAGGCUGACGUCCCCACCUCCGCCAUGGAAGUCGUCGUCCAAGCUACAGACAAGGCUGCGGGCGUCAGCGCAGCGACACCGGCAGAGGAUCCACCGCGCGGUGCGUCACCUACCGAAAUGGUGGCCGCUGCACCUGUGUUGCAGCACCCUGUUCGGCCACCACGUCGACAGUGACCGCGACGGGUGGAUACCUUGACGACGAUGUCGUCGCAGUGCGCCCGCCGCGUAGA